rnacentral:sRNA from 1 species
UUAAUAGAUUCAUACAUUUCAAGUAUACGGACUAAAUAUCUAUCGUAACAAUCACCGUUUUUGCCGAUUGGUACUUCAAAGUCCAUUUCAUCAUACACAUCAUAAGGAUUUGACUUACGUAAAUCCCAAGCUAUACCUGAACCUCUAAGCAUUGGUCCUGAAAAUCCCCAGUCCAUAGCAUCUUUUUGAGACACAACAC